rnacentral:lncRNA from 1 species
AUCCUCCCAACAACGGGGUGAAAUAGGCCUUACUUGCCCCCAUUUUAUAGCUGAGGAAACUGAGUUUCAGAGAGGUCAAGUAAUUCACUCAGGAUCGUAGAGCUGAUAAAUGAGAGCCAGGUUUUAAGCCUGCCUGUGUCUCUCUAAUCCAAAAUAUAUGUGCUCUCCAUUGUACUUCCUAUGCCUUAGAGAGACUGAUUAGUGAAAGGGAAACUAGGAAAUGCUUGAGUAUUUCCAGUCCUAAUAAUAUUCAGUUCAAAUUCCAGGAAGGGCAGUGAUUUUCAACCUUCUUAACUUUUCUGUUUUAAAUCUGCAAAAGAAAACCUGCCACAGACCAGAAAGGAGAAAGUUCCCCCUAAAUUGUGUCAAUCUUUGCAGAUAAUAAAGCAACUCUUUCACUUCUGCAGGAUUGUCAAGUGGGAUGUCCAAACCUGAGAAACAGCUAUUUGGUUCUUUACUCUGCCCCUGAAUAGAGUCGGAGCUUCAGGCUUCAGGGAGGGACAAUUGCCAUCAAAAGUCGUCAUGCCCGGGAGCAGGUGUUGCUCAGAAUUGUGAAGACGUUAUGAACCCAGGUGACUUGACUCAAGAGUUACAACCCCACUAAUGAGAAGUGAUUUUUGGCCAUGUUGAAGUCAUGACCGGUUUCCCUGGGAAGUCAACAGAAGUUUGGCAGACACUUCCGACGGACUCAGACCCCAGCAAUAUCUCUCCCUGGCACUGCGCGCGGCUGAUCAAAGCGAGAAGCUUUGCGAACUCCCCAGAGGGUGCACGCCUCCCAUCUAACCUUUGGUGAAGGGAAGUGACGGCGUGGUCACGGUGCGCCUGUCAGCCUGCAGCCGCGCCCUGGCUCACACUGGGGCGGGUUGUGGGGAAUAGUGAUGGGGGCGCCCCUUUCCCCGGCUGUCUGAGCCUUAGCUGGGAGACUGUGCUGGGGAAGAGGCAGGGGCAGAGCCAGUUCCGAGGGGUGUAGGACCCCAAGCAAGAGGGGCCU